CUUGUGGGGGAGGGUCCCUCAGCCUGGAUUGUAAGAGGGCGCAGGUCCGGCUGAGAGACCCCACCGGUGCACG
rfam:Myotis brandtii contig253308, whole genome shotgun sequence.